GAUGAACGCUGGCGGCGUGCCUAAUACAUGCAAGUCGAGCGAACAGACGAGGAGCUUGCUCCUCUGACGUUAGCGGCGGACGGGUGAGUAACACGUGGAUAACCUACCUAUAAGACUGGGAUAACUUCGGGAAACCGGAGCUAAUACCGGAUAAUAUAUUGAACCGCAUGGUUCAAAAGUGAAAGACGGUUUUGCUGUCACUUAUAGAUGGAUCCGCGCCGCAUUAGCUAGUUGGUAAGGUAACGGCUUACCAAGGCAACGAUGCGUAGCCGACCUGAGAGGGUGAUCGGCCACACGGGAACUGAGACACGGUCCAGACGCCUACGGGAGGCAGCAGUAGGGAAUCUUCCGCAAUGGGCGAAAGCUUGACGGAGCAACGCCGCGUGAGUGAUGAAGGUCUUCGGAUCGUAAAACUCUGUUAUUAGGGAAGAACAAAUGUGUAAGUAACUAUGCACGUCUUGACGGUACCUAAUCAGAAAGCCACGGCUAACUACGUG
rnacentral:rRNA from 1 species